rnacentral:rRNA from 1 species
GAUGAACGCUGGCGGCGUGCCUAAUACAUGCAAGUCGAGCGAACAGACGAGGAGCUUGCUCCUCUGACGUUAGCGGCGGACGGGUGAGUAACACGUGGAUAACCUACCUAUAAGACUGGGAUAACUUCGGGAAACCGGAGCUAAUACCGGAUAAUAUAUUGAACCGCAUGGUUCAAUAGUGAAAGACGGUUUUGCUGUCACUUAUAGAUGGAUCCGCGCCGCAUUAGCAAGUUGGUAAGGUAACGGCUUACCAAGGCAACGAUGCGUAGCCGACCUGAGAGGGUGAUCGCCCACCCUGGAACUGGGCCACGGUCCAGACUCCUACGGGAGGCAGCAGUCGGGAAUCUUCCGCAAUGGGCGAAAGCCUGACGGAGCAACGCCGCGUGAGUGAUGAAGGUCUUCGGAUCGUAAAACUCUGUUAUUAGGGAAGAACAAAUGUGUAAGUAACUAUGCACGUCUUGACGGUACCUAAUCAGAAAGCCACGGCUAACUACGUG